rnacentral:rRNA from 1 species
GACGUAGGGGGCCAGCGUUGCUCGGAAUUACUGGGUGUAAAGGGUUCGUAGGCGGUGCGGCAAGUCGGGAGUGAAAUCUCUGGGCUCAACCCAGAGGCUGCUUCCGAAACUGCUGUGCUUGAGUGUGGGAGAGGCGCGUGGAAUUGCAGGUGUAGCGGUGAAAUGCGUAGAUAUCUGCAGGAACACCCGUGGCGAAAGCGGCGCGCUGGACCACAACUGACGCUGAGGAACGAAAGCUAGGGGAG